GCUCAGAGCCUGCUUGGGCCUCAACAAAUAGAUCCUACUGCUAUGGGGAGAUGGCCUAGACCAGCCUAGGACAUCCAGCAGAGCUGUGUCCAAUCUGCCAAGACGAUUCAUCCAGGACAGAAGGACCCAGGAACGUCCCGGGGGCCAUCAAACCUCUGCCCAGAGGCUCAAGUGCCCAGGUUGUGGCAAGACCAGCAGUCGGAAAGGGGGCUGUGGCUCUGAGCCCCCCAACAGGCAGCGGCCUGGGUGGACACGGAGCCCCUGAUGGCUCUCAGCCAGCAACACCCUUACUGAAGAAUGGAGUGGGCCUGCCGAAGAGCCGGAGAGGGGCAGGAGCGCGGCCUUGUCACACGGGAGCCCGGGGCGGCACAUUCCCCGUCCCACCCGGCACGGGACGGGACGCAGCUGUCCUCUGGGAGCAGCACCUCUCCCAGCGAAAUCCAGGUCCACAGGAUGCCCUCGGGUGUUGAGCAGCUCUGUGUCUGCCUGGGCCCCGGAUCUGCUGAGAGGUCAAACGCUCCAACUUCUCAAGUGCUCAAGGGCCACUAUACUUGUCACCCAGAUAUUCCACACCUGUGCCUCACUGCCUGGGGCGCCUUCCCAUGCUGACCUGGAGCCAGGACAGGGUCAGAGGCUGGGACAAGGCUGCCAGGAUGGCAAGGGGACAAGAAACCAUUCCUGUGGAGACACAGCCCACACAGAGGCUUGUCAGAGGCCUUGAUACGCCAGACGUCCUGUUGUAGGAGAGGCCACGAUGGGCACCACCUGGCACCAUCGCCGGCGUCCCGGGCAAGGAAGUGAGUGUACACGCCUUGAGACCCUGCAGCAGCUCCCAAGAGCAGGGCCACAGCCUGAACCAAUGCAUGUAACGCUCCAAGACAUCAAAAGAGCAAGUUGAGAACAAUAUGCGCGAGAUGUCAUUUAGUAGGGGAAAAGCAAACCACAAAACAUCGCUCUGACUCA